rnacentral:rRNA from 1 species
GUGAGGAAUUUUGCGCAAUGGGGGCAACCCUGACGCAGCGACGCCGCGUGGAGGACGAAGUCUUUCAGGAUGUAAACUCCUGUCAGUGGGGACGAUAAUGACGGUACCCACAGAGGAAGCACCGGCUAACUCCGUGCCAGCAGCCGCGGUAAGACGGAGGGUGCAAGCGUUGUUCGGAAUUACUGGGCGUAAAGCGUAUGUAGGCGGCAAGUUAAGUUCAAUGUUAAAGCCCACGGCUCAACCGAGGAGAUGCAUUGAAUACUGGCUAGCUAGAGGGUGUUAGAGGAAGACGGAAUUCCCAGUGUAGCGGUGAAAUGCGUAGAUAUUGGGAGGAACAUCGGUAGCGAAAGCGGUCUUCUGGGACAUACCUGACGCUGAGGUACGAAAGCGUGGGGAGCAAACGGGAUUAGAUACCCUAGUAGUCC